rnacentral:rRNA from 1 species
UACGUAGGGUGCAAGCGUUAAUCGGAAUUACUGGGCGUAAGCGUGCGCAGGCGGUUGUGCAAGACAGAUGUGAAAUCCCCGGGCUCAACCUGGGAAUUGCAUUUGUGACUGCACGGCUAGAGUGUGUCAGAGGGGGGUAGAAUUCCACGUGUAGCAGUGAAAUGCGUAGAGAUGUGGAGGAAUACCGAUGGCGAAGGCAGCCCCCUGGGAUAACACUGACGCUCA